rnacentral:rRNA from 1 species
GAGUUUGAUCUUGGCUCAGAUUGAACGCUGGCGGCAUGCCUUACACAUGCAAGUCGAACGGCAGCACGGGAGCUUGCUCCUGGUGGCGAGUGGCGAACGGGUGAGUAAUGCAUCGGAACGUAUCCUGGAGUGGGGGAUAACGUAGCGAAAGUUACGCUAAUACCGCAUAUUCUGUGAGCAGGAAAGCGGGGGGACCUUCGGGCCUCGCGCUCUUGGAGCGGCCGAUGUCGGAUUAGCUAGUUGGUGAGGUAAAGGCUCACCAAGGCGACGAUCCGUAGCAGGUCUGAGAGGAUGAUCUGCCACACUGGAACUGAGCACGGUCCAGACUCCUACGGGAGGCAGCAGUGGGGAAUUUUGGACAAUGGGGGCAACCCUGAUCCAGCCAUGCCGCGUGAGUG